AACGAACGCUGGCGGCAUGCCUAACACAUGCAAGUCGAACGAGAUCUUCGGGUCUAGUGGCGCACGGGUGCGUAACGCGUGGGAAUCUGCCCUUUGGUUCGGAAUAACAGUUGGAAACGACUGCUAAUACCGGAUGAUGACGAAAGUCCAAAGAUCUAUCGCCAGAGGAUGAGCCCGCGUAGGAUUAGCUAGUUGGUGUGGUAAAGGCGCACCAAGGCGACGAUCCUUAGCUGGUCUGAGAGGAUGAUCAGCCACACUGGGACUGAGACACGGCCCAGACUCCUACGGGAGGCAGCAGUGGGGAAUAUUGGACAAUGGGCGAAAGCCUGAUCCAGCAAUGCCGCGUGAGUGAUGUAGGCCUUAGGGUUGUAAAGCUCUUUUACCCGGGAUGAUAAUGACAGUACCGGGAGAAUAAGCUCCGGCUAACUCCGUGCCAGCCGCCGCGGUAA
rnacentral:rRNA from 1 species